rnacentral:rRNA from 1 species
GAUGAACGCUGGCGGCGUGCCUAAUACAUGCAAGUCGAGCGAACGGACGAGAAGCUUGCUUCUCUGAUGUUAGCGGCGGACGGGUGAGUAACACGUGGAUAACCUACCUAUAAGACUGGGAUAACUUCGGGAAACCGUAGCUAAUACCGGAUAAUAUUUUGAACCGCAUGGUUCAAAAGUGAAAGACGGUCUUGCUGUCACUUAUAGAUGGAUCCGCGCUGCAUUAGCUAGUUGGUAAGGUAACGGCUUACCAAGGCAACGAUGCAUAGCCGACCUGAGAGGGUGAUCGGCCACACUGGAACUGAGACACGGUCCAGACUCCUACGGGAGGCAGCAGUAGGGAAUCUUCCGCAAUGGGCGAAAGCCUGACGGAGCAACGCCGCGUGAGUGAUGAAGGUCUUCGGAUGGUAAAACUCUGUUAUUAGGGAAGAACAUAUGUGUAAGUAACUGUGCACAUCUUGACGGUACCUAAUCAGAAAGCCACGGCUAACUACGUG